UGUGGUUACAAUAGCAGAGAGGAUACACCUGUUCCCAUUCCGAACACAGAAGUUAAGCUCUCUAGCGCUGAUGGUACU
rnacentral:rRNA from 1 species